rnacentral:misc_RNA from 1 species
CACAACAGAAGACAGAGAAGAUAAAAGCUGCUAGAAGACGAAGUCCGUGAUGACUGAAGUUGUUUGCCACCAACGACACCACCGCCGUUGGAGGGUGGAUGCACCUCUAGCGACGAGCGAUGCAUGCCUCUCGAUGGCAAGUCUUCUGCUCUCUGUUGCUUGCACUCUUCUCUCACGACAACGGCACGGUAAGCACUCUUCCAGCGCUCCGUCUGUGUACACAAAAACAUUAACUACAGCAUCGGCAGAGGACCGACACGGGGUAGAUGAAAAAGCUUUAUGGUGACUGUACGUAUGGUAACUAGGCAGGGGUGCGCUAAGCUGAUUUCCGUUGAUAUGGAGAGAAGACCGAACCUAUGCCGCCUUUCUUCCCGAUUCUCUCAACACCGUGGCCCUGGCCGCGUUGUCGAGCGUUACAGCAUGGUUUGACGGCGCAUCUCGUUGCGUCUUUUUGUGGGCUUUCGUUUCUCUGGAAAGGUCGUGCUUUCGCACCGUGUGCCACCUCUGCCUCUCAUCUUUUCCAUCGGUCGGUCUCUCUGUCCUUCUCAUCUCAUGCCCCCCGACCUCUGUCCGGCUUUCUGUCUGUCUGUGUGCGUGUGUGCCCCUUUCCUUCUGUGACCGUCCUCCCUUUUUCUUUAUAGGCUACCAAGCAGCCGUCUGUACAUAUGCACUUUUCCUUCCACCGUCGCCUGCCACUGCCAUCGUCUCACCUGCUUCUCUUCUCACCACGCCAUGCCAACCCAACGCUUGCGAUACACAAUGCAG